GCAAGUCGAACGGAGUUAUAUUUUCGGAUAUAACUUAGUGGCAAACGGGUGAGUAAUACAUGAGAAUUUACCUUUUGGAGUGGAAUAGUUUUUGGAAACGAAAAGUAAUACCACGUAAUCUCUUUAAUUUGGUUUUUAAAGAGCAAAGAUUUAUCGCCAUUAGAGAAGCUCAUGCCCGAUUAGGUAGUUGGUAGGGUAAAAGCCUACCAAGCCGAUGAUCGGUAGUUGGUCUUAGAGGAUGAUC
rnacentral:rRNA from 1 species